GGAAAGUACUGAAACACCAUUUUUUUUUCCUCAGUGAAGUUUCUUCUGAUUGCUAAUAAAAUCAAAUUCUCUAGGAAACUGAGCUGAAGAAUUUGACUGUCCCACCAACACCACAUCCAUCUCAUGCAGCAAUUUUUAGUCUUAAUUUAGACAAGACUGCUCUUUUUCUGGGCAUUUAGCUUAAGACUGCUUUCAGAUCAUUCUGGGUCCAGUCAAGAUAUAGAACCUGUGCCUAAGUUAUUUAAAUGAGUAGAAAGGAUUGUUAAACAGUCAUAAAAGUAGCUAUAAGUAGUAAUUACUACAGUAUUACCUAACACUUGCAUUGGCAAAAAAAAAAAAAAAAAAGUCAUAUCAAGAAACAGAAAAAAUGUCCGCAUUGGAAGAAGCGAUGCCUGAGAGAGGGCCCAGGUAAAAUGACUUGUCUAGGCCUCCCUGCAGCCCUGUGAGUUUUAAACAUGACAUUUAUCUGUUAGGAAUGUUAGAAACCAGUGAGUGCAUAUCUUAAUGUAAAUAAAUGAAGAAGAAACAACCAAAAAAGCUGCCUGAGGAUUAUAGUAUUCAUGUUCUAUAUACUAGUUAUAAUAACACUGAAACUCUGCUCCUUUUUAAAUAUCAUUACCGGACAUACAAUUAAAUUGUGGAGAAAAAUUAUUUUGUGAUGGUGUCUAUGUAAUUUUCUAAUCCCAUGAAGUCUGAAAGAUCCGACACUAUUUUUACAUUAUUGGAAUUCUCUUUAAAUAUAGUGUGUUUAGUUGGGUACAUUGGUGUGUGCCUGUGAUUCCAAUUGCUUGGAUGGCUGAGGCAGGAUCACUUGAGUCCAGGAAUUCAAGACCAGCUUUAGCCUGGGCCGUAUAGUAAGACCUAAUCUCAAAAGAAAAUAAUAUAAUAAAUAUAACUCAAAAUAUAUAUUAUCUCAAAACAAAAAUCCAAUGUGUCAGUAGUGAACAAAAUGAAAUCAUUAUAUAUAAAGUGACAUAAAUGACCUAUUGAUCACUUCAGUAAAAAUAAAGUCUCAAAGUAAACCAUCCUGAAAAUAACUUAGUUUGAAAACAAUUCAGUGGAGAGCACUUGUCAGGCACAGACCUCCAAUACAGACAGUGCUUCACAUAAAAUAGCUUGUUUUCUUAAAAAAAAAAAAAAAGGGGGUGUGCACCCAUGUGUCGGUUGGGAGCUAAGGUCAAGUGUCUCCCUGGUGUUCUCCGCCUGUAUCUUAAGACAAGGCCUCCCACUAUUUUAUGCCUGUUCUGUGAUGAACUAUCUCAAUGGGUAUUCCCCAACAGUGGGAGCUCAAAGGUCUAGAUGCGGCCUAGGCACUCCCUCACUGAGACUCUUCACAGGUAAUUUUAGGUUGUGUCAAGUUACAACUAAAACUGGCAGUGCCUUUUGAAGCUCAUUGGUUCAGCUACAGUAGUUUGUCACAGAGUGUCAGGGACCUAUCUGUGCCCACCCUAUCCCCUCCAAAGCUGGAGUUAAAAGCAUGUGCUGCCAGGCCUGGCUUUUUAUGUGGAUUCCAAACUCAGGUCUUUCCUUGGUGUGUAUGUGACAGCCACUUUAUCACCUGAGCCAUCCUCCCAACCCUUAUUUCCU
rnacentral:lncRNA from 1 species